UGCCCAAAUAUGAAGUAGAGUAGACUAGUGGGAUCAGCUGAUCCUACUAAUCUACUCAACUUCGAAUCUGGUUC
rnacentral:pre_miRNA from 1 species